GACGAACGCUGGCGGCGUGCUUAACACAUGCAAGUCGAACGGUGAUGCUCCAGCUUGCUGGAGUGGAUCAGUGGCGAACGGGUGAGUAACACGUGAGCAACCUGCCCCAGACUCUGGAAUAAGCGCUGGAAACGGCGUCUAAUACUGGAUACGAAACUGGCCCGCAUGGGCAUGGUUUGGAAAGUUUUUCGGUUUGGGAUGGGCUCGCGGCCUAUCAGCUUGUUGGUGAGGUAAUGGCUCACCAAGGCGACGACGGGUAGCCGGCCUGAGAGGGCGACCGGCCACACUGGGACUGAGACACGGCCCAGACUCCUACGGGAGGCAGCAGUGGGGAAUAUUGCACAAUGGGCGAAAGCCUGAUGCAGCGACGCCGCGUGAGGGAUGACGGCCUUCGGGUUGUAAACCUCUUUCAGCAGGGAAGAAGCGAAAGUGGCGGUACCUGCAGAAGAAGCACCGGCUAACUACGUG
rnacentral:rRNA from 1 species